UACGGAGGAUUCAAGCGUUAUCCGGAUUUAUUGGGUUUAAAGGGUGCGUAGGCGGCCUGUUAAGUCAGGGGUGAAAGACGGUAGCUUAACUAUCGCAGUGCCCUUGGUACUGAUGGGCUUGAAUAUACUUGAGGUAGGCGGAAUGUGACAAGUAGCGGUGAAAUGCAUAGAUAUGUCACAGAACACCAAUUGCGAAGGCAGCUUACUAAGGUAUGAUUGACGCUGAGGCACGAAAGCGUGGGGAUCAAACAGG
rnacentral:rRNA from 1 species